AAAACAUUGUAUUAAGUUUAAUUUAAUAUAGGAUCUGCUCAAUGAUUUAUUAAAUAGCUGCAGUAUUUUGACUGUGCAAAGGUAGCAUAAUAAUUAGUCUUUUAAUUGAGGACUUGAAUGAAAGAUUUGAUGAGAAAUAAACUUUAUUAUUUAUAUAAUUAAAAUUUUAUUUUUAAGUAAAAAAGCUUAAAUUAUUUAAAGGGACGAUAAGACCCUAUAAAACUUUAUAGAUAUUAAUUUUAGUUUUUUUGGUUAUAUAAAUAUAUUAAUUUUAUUAUUUAUUUUAUUGGGGUGAUAAAAAAAAUUAUAAAACUUUUUUUAAAAUUUAACAUUAGUUAAUGAAUUUUUGAAUUAAAAUUUUUAAUUAAAGGAAAAAGUUACUUUAGGGAUAACAGCGUAAUUAAUUUUUUAAGUUCAAAUUUGAAAAUUAGUUUGCGACCUCGAUGUUGAAUUAAGAUUAAUCUUAGGUGCAAAAUUUUAAGUAUUAGGUCUGUU
rnacentral:rRNA from 1 species